UACGGAGGGUGCAAGCGUUAUCCGGAUUCACUGGGUUUAAAGGGUGCGUAGGAGGGCGGAUAAGUCAGUGGUGAAAUCUUCGAGCUUAACUCGGAAACUGCCGUUGAUACUAUUUGUCUUGAAUAUCGUGGAGGUGAGCGGAAUAUGUCAUGUAGCGGUGAAAUGCUUAGAUAUGACAUAGAACACCAAUUGCGAAGGCAGCUCGCUACACGAAUAUUGACUCUGAGGCACGAAAGCGUGGGGAGCGAACAGG
rnacentral:rRNA from 1 species